UCCUCAUUAGUAUAGUGGUGAGUAUCCCUGCCUGUCAUGCAGGAAACCGGGAUUCAAUUCCCCGAUGGGGAG